AACAAGGUUUCCGUAGGUGAACCUGCGGAAGGAUCAUUACAACGUAUCCACGUACCAAACUCUCGAACUGUUCCCGACGGAGCAAAGCGCACUUGUGUGUGUAAGAAGUUAAUGGCCGGCUGUCUUUCGCUGAUGGAGUUCAAUGACUUUUGUCUGAGGACUGAAAGGCUUUGGAGCUCCGGCUCUGGGGCUUUGUUUGCUUCGUUGCGGUUUCUACCGUCAGCGUGUUUUACCAUUAUUAACCCUUUGAACUCUUGAACUGAACUUGAAAGCCUCGCAACCGUCCUAGUUGGCUUCGGUCACGGACAGUGUGGCUUGGUUUUUAUCGUUUUACGAAACAAAGAACAACUCUUAGCAACGGAUAUCUUGGUUCUC
rnacentral:misc_RNA from 1 species